rnacentral:tRNA from 1 species
GCGGGCGUGGCGGAACUGGUAGACGCGCUUGGUUUAGGUCCAAGUAUCGAAAGAUGUGGGGGUUCGAGUCCCUUCGCCCGCACCA